GCGCUUCAGCAGAACAUAUACUAACACUGGAACGACACAGAAAAGAUUAGCAUGGCCCCUGCACAAGGAUGACAUGCAAAU
rnacentral:snRNA from 1 species